UGGCGACCCAUGCGCAGUACACCCACGCCGCCGGAUAGCCCCGCCACCCAUACCUGUCGUCCCCUGCGCCACCCAUCCCUGCCUCGCCGCGCCCGCCGCCUCCCCUUCACACCGCCGCCCCCUCGAACUGUUUCCUACAUCGAUUGUCAAGAAUGCCCCAGCUGCCAUAGCCUCCGCCGCCGAUGUCCGGCUGAGACGCGCCAAGGAGAUCUCGCGACUCCGCCAUGUCGAUGAGUACCCCACUUGACGGCUUGCUCCCGCCCCCCGCGCAGAUCCUCUUCGUCGCCAACGAGAGCUAUUCACCGGCCAGAUUCCAUCAAAGAGGAGGAGGUCCACCGGCCAGAUCCUGAUCCUCCUUGCACCACCGCCGCGUCGCUGCCCCAAUGCUCCACACGAUGCGCCGCCACCCGCAUCCCAGAAAUUUUUCGAUCCAAUCUUCGUCUCGCUGUCUCGUCUCAUAGCAUGCCGCCUCCCCUUUUCAAGAUGGGGAGCUCGAGCGACCUCGAGCAACUGCCGCCGCCGCCGUCACGUAUGGCCCUGCGAGCUCGUACAGCAUGUGCCCCGCCCUCCCUCCUCCUCCCCUGUCAGCCACGAAGGCUAUGCCCGUCUAUGGAUUCUCAGUCUCAUGGAAUGCUCACCUUAGGCCCUGUACUGUGGGUAGCUUGACGUUGUUGAGGCUCUCGAAUAUUGUUGAUCGAGUCAAUGGAUGUUUCCUGGUUGCUCUUAUGGUGAGGAUUAGGUACUUCUCUUCGACGAUGAUGUCACCAACACAACAGAUGUAGCUUGCGGAUCCCACAGCAUGACUCAGAUGCUGACGAUGAACCGGACUACCCGUUGUAAUUUGAACACCUAAAGAAGGAUGAUGUUCAGGUGAGGGCGGGACUUGAGGGAGGGCGUGGUUGUUGGAGGACGCCGCCGCCGCCAUCGUGGAACUCUAGGGUCAGGGGGUGGUCUGCGGUCAGCGAGGACCGACAAGGCCGUGUCAAUCGUUCCCUACAUCGCGGAACAUCACAAAUAUUUACAUUCUGUUCGUUUUCUGAAUUUUUCUGUUCAUUUCUGUAUUUCCUGAUCGUUUGUAUGCUUCACCUGUCCUGAACAUCGUUUCUUGCAGCGAGGAGCGGCGCAAGGCCGUGCCCUACAUCACCGAACAUCACAGGUAUAUAGAUACAAUGUGAGGGCGCUGGACGCACGCUCAAUGAGAGGGACCUCUGCCAGAAAUCAGUCGACGCCAUUGCCCAGGUCAUGCUACCAGCCCGCACCAAAAAUUCAUCCGCCGACGAGUGGGAUUGAUAUGCAGUAGGACGUCCAUGACAAGCAUUCUUGGGAUAAAUAGCCUAUGAAGUCAAGACCCUAGAUAUGGCCAAACUUCUGUCCAGGCCGCAUGGUGGAGAGAGGAUACUCAACUUUGGAGGACAGUGUCUCAAUGGCGAUCAACUGCGGAUUCUUAUUGAAGGACUGGCGAAAAAUGAAUUACUGUACCAUACAAAUUUGUUAACAGUUUUCAGGGAAUAUGGUACCGCAUGAUGGAGGAUGGUAGAAAAUCAGAUCUAAGUUUGCACCAAAUGUGACUUUGCCUUUGUCAUAUGGAAAUGUCUCACGCCGAUGCUAUAUCUAACACUGACAUUCGGCGAAGUUUCAUGCCGUCACCCUAUUGGGAGCGUUGUCAUUGAGAUCGGGGAUCGUUGUUCGUGCCUCAGCGAGGUGUUAGGCUUGUUCUAGGCUCAUGUUGUAUCUUUUGAUCUACUUUGUAAGGGGACCUUCCCACUAUAUUGUAUCGUUCGAUCGUGUACUUUGGUUCGUUGCUUAAAGCGGGGUGAAAGCCUGUUCCGAGAGAGGGAUAAGUGCCAAUCGGCCAGGUUUCUGAUCCUGGCGCAUGUGCUAAGUACCGAGUGUUGGUGCUUCCCUAAGGGGACGAUCAAGGAGCAUAACAAAGAUGUAGUGACAAAAAUAUAGCGGCAUAGUUUAUUAGAUCC